AAUAGAUACCCGGGUAGUCCACGCCGUAAACGGUGGGCACUAGGUGUGGGCGACAUUCCACGUCGUCCGUGCCGCAGCUAACGCAUUAAGUGCCCCGCCUGGGGAGUACGGCCGCAAGGCUAAAACUCAAAGGGAAUUGACGGGGCCCGCACAAGCGGCGGAGCAUGUGGCUUAAUUCGACGCAACGCGAAGAACCUUACCAAGGCUUGACAUACACCGGAAACGUCCAGAGAUGGGCGCCCCCUUGUGGUCGGUGUACAGGUGGUGCAUGGCUGUCGUCAGCUCGUGUCGUGAGAUGUUGGGUUAAGUCCCGCAACGAGCGCAACCCUUGUCCCGUGUUGCCAGCAGGCCCUUGUGGUGCUGGGGACUCACGGGAGACCGCCGGGGUCAACUCGGAGGAAGGUGGGGACGACGUCAAGUCAUCAUGCCCCUUAUGUCUUGGGCUGCACACGUGCUACAAUGGCCGGUACAAUGAGCUGCGAUACCGCGAGGUGGAGCGAAUCUCAAAAAGCCGGUCUCAGUUCGGAUUGGGGU
rnacentral:rRNA from 1 species